rnacentral:rRNA from 1 species
CAGUCGCCGCGGUAAUACGAAGGGUGCAAGCGUUAAUCGGAAUUACUGGGCGUAAAGCGUGCGUAGGCGGUUUGUUAAGUCUGUUGUGAAAUCCCCGGGCUCAACCUGGGAAUGGCAAUGGAUACUGGCAAGCUAGAGUGUGUCAGAGGAUGGUGGAAUUCCCGGUGUAGCGGUGAAAUGCGUAGAUAUGCGGAGGAACACCGAUGGCGAAGGCAGCCCCCUGGGCCAACACUGACGCUCAUGCACGAAAGCGUGGGGAGCAAACAGGAUUAGAUACCCCCGUAGUCCCUGUCUCUUAUAC